rnacentral:lncRNA from 1 species
GGGAGAAAGAGACAGAGAAAGACAGACAGACAGACAGAGACAGAGACAGAGAGACAGACAGAGACAGAGAGACAGAGAGAGAGACAGAAAGACAGAAAGACAGACAGACAGACAGACAGACAGACAGACAGAGACAGAGAGACACAGAGAGAGAGAGACCUACCGACAGGGCUGCUGUGGCCUGUUCCUAAGGUUGCACUCCAGUGGUUUGUGUCGUGUUGUGCUUGCUCAGCCGGCUUGAUCCUCCUUGGUAGGCAGGCUCAGAUCGCAGGGCGCUGACCCCCGUGACGGCCUGUGUGCUGAAUCACCGUCCUACAAUGCUGCGACGGUGGCACAGGGCAGAAGCCCGUGUCGUGCAAAUGUGUGCUAGUGACAACGAGUGCAGGCGUGUGUGAUAUUUUUAACGCCGUUUCCCAUUAGCGUCACACUAAUAUCGAGACAAUACUCUCUUCUCUUUCUUUCCCCUCAUUUCUUAUCUGUUAAACAAACCAAUGCUUUUUAAAAACCCUGCUUUUGAAACAGCUUUCAUUUUAGGGUUCUGAGAUGAGCCCUUGCCUGGCACCAUCCUCAAUAUCGAGACUGCCCUCUACUGGCCAUUUGAGAUCAUGCUCUGUCUCAAAAAUAAUUUACCUUUUUUUCUUCACUGUGUUGUGUGUGUCUCAACACCCAAGAGUCAUCCUGUAUGAAUGUGAUGCUUUUGUUCUUGAAAAUUAUGAGAGAAGGAUGAUAAAUUUUAAUCUCUAUUUUACCUCCUCUUUGUUGCAGUUAAAAAACCUCCAAACCUCUGAAGAGCGAAGUAAAUUAACCUGCAUCCGUAUGGGCUCCCUGGCCAGGCUGGAAAUGAAGAAGCUCACUGCUUGUCGUGUGGAAUGUGGGUUCCAUCACGACACUGACGUUACCCCAGAAGGAGACCAGAGUGUCAGUGAAUUGGAUACUGAACAGCUCCAACCAACAAACAGUGAGUACAAGUGGUUACUCUAAAAGAGCAGGAUGUUCUCCUGGAGAGCAUGAGU